GACGAACGCUGGCGGCGUGCCUGACACAUGCAAGUCGAGCGAAUGAAGUUCCUUCGGGAAUGGAUUUAGCGGCGGACGGGUGAGUAACACGUGGGCAACCUGCCUCAUAGAGGGGAAUAGCCUUCCGAAAGGGAGAUUAAUACCGCAUAAGAUUGUAGUAUCGCAUGAUACAGCAAUUAAAGGAGCAAUCCGCUAUGAGAUGGGCCCGCGGCGCAUUAGCUAGUUGGUGAGGUAACGGCUCACCAAGGCGACGAUGCGUAGCCGACCUGAGAGGGUGAUCGGCCACAUUGGGACUGAGACACGGCCCAGACUCCUACGGGAGGCAGCAGUGGGGAAUAUUGCACAAUGGGGGAAACCCUGAUGCAGCAACGCCGCGUGAGUGAUGACGGCCUUCGGGUUGUAAAGCUCUGUCUUCAGGGACGAUAAUGACGGUACCUGAGGAGGAAGCCACGGCUAACUACGUG
rnacentral:rRNA from 1 species